UUGUGUUUGGCUUAUCUUUGAGCACAAUGCACUCUGAAGGAAGUACACCCACUCCCUGAUGUUUUCCUUGGGAGCCAGAAAUGUGUGUGCAGCGUUUUUGGGGCAGUGGAUAAAGACGCAGAAGGAGGAGGAAGGCUCUGCAGUUCAGUAGCAUUUCCAGCAGUUUGGGAACUUGCCAUGCUCUUCAGUCCUGAAGGUUAAUGUAAAGGUGGAUCUUCCAAUGAAAAUGAGGAAUUAGCCUGUAACACACUUGGGACAGAACUGAUGUUUUUGUAUGUUGGUCAGCUGUAUUAGGGUAAUGAGUUCUGUUUGAGGUCUCCCUGCAUCACCCCAUGAGAAAAAAUAACAGGAAUAAUCAAGAACACUUGUUCCAAGACCUGGUGAACUCAACCAAGCUAUUCCCACCAUGUCCAGCAGGCUUUGGAUGCAGCUUUAGGAGCACCAGACAGUUCACUCCUGCUGCUCAGCCAGUGACAGAGCCACCAUACAUCAAUAUUAUCACAGUUUCCACAAAAAUAGUGGCCAUGUGCCACAGGGUGGGUGGCCUUUUACACCAGCCAGGGAAAAAUUAAUCCAGCAGCGCAUGGAGUGACAGAGACAGGAGGUGUUUUACACUCCAGCUGCAGAGGAGAUGCUCUUGGUGCCUGGAUUGCCUUGUGUAACCCAUUCUGUGAAGCAGAUCUUCCACUUACCCCUCCACAGCUCACUUAAGCUGGGAUUAAAUACAUCUCCUGGGCAGGCACCUUGGCUGGAUGGAAGCAUUUGAAGCAUUUUCAACAACUGGGUCAUCACAUUGGCAGGCUGCUCCCACUACUGAAAUAUUCGCCCAACAGAGUUUGCAAACUUCAGGUGAAAAGUGACUUUUCUGUGCACUCCUUGCUCCUGUGCAACUAACAAAUUUUAUAUCAGAAAAACCUGAUCUGAAAUCAAAGAAGACAGACCUGAAACACCCUGGAAGUGCCAUCUGCUGUUUACUUACGUGAGACUGACACCCGUGUAGGAGGAAGCUAAGUCAAGAAAACAAGGGAAUUCCAUAUCUUGCUGCUGAAUUUUGAGCCUUGCCCAGUGCCCCAGUGGCCAAAUCCCAACUACAACCUAAUUAAAGUUAUUUAGAGGAAAAUUUGUUACAUGUGAAAGAGGCUUCGUGUGACAAGACAAGUGGUGCCUCCUGGAUGCAUUAAAGAAUACCUGGGAACAAGCUGAAA